UUGGAGAGUUUGAUCCUGGCUCAGGAUGAACGCUGGCGGCGUGCCUAAUACAUGCAAGUCGAACGAGUUCUGAUUAUUGAAAGGUGCUUGCAUCUUGAUUUAAUUUUGAACGAGUGGCGGACGGGUGAGUAACACGUGGGUAACCUGCCCUUAAGUGGGGGAUAACAUUUGGAAACAGAUGCUAAUACCGCAUAAAUCCAAGAACCGCAUGGUUCUUGGCUGAAAGAUGGCGUAAGCUAUCGCUUUUGGAUGGACCCGCGGCGUAUUAGCUAGUUGGUGAGGUAACGGCUCACCAAGGCAAUGAUACGUAGCCGAACUGAGAGGUUGAUCGGCCACAUUGGGACUGAGACACGGCCCAAACUCCUACGGGAGGCAGCAGUAGGGAAUCUUCCACAAUGGACGCAAGUCUGAUGGAGCAACGCCGCGUGAGUGAAGAAGGCUUUCGGGUCGUAAAACUCUGUUGUUGGAGAAGAAUGGUCGGCAGAGUAACCUGUUGUCGGCGUGACGGUAUCCAACCAGAAAGCCACGGCUAACUACGUGCCAGCAGCCGCGGUAAUAA
rnacentral:rRNA from 2 species